rnacentral:lncRNA from 1 species
GGGCAAGGUGAUUAUUCUGUCUGAUGAGGAGAAUAAGGGCCAGUUUGUGGUAUUGACAGAAGAAUGAAAGCAAAGGAAGCUUACUGCAGGAAAGAAAUCCCUCAGAGUCCUGAAGAUACAGCUUUCAGAACUUAGGUGAAGCAAGAGGACUCAAGGUGUGCAAGAAUGGACAGUACAGAAUGCUCUGCUACACUGCUCAGAUUCCCCCUUCAGGAAGGAAAGACAAAUUCACUCAACUUCUGGGAGCAUUGAUGGUUGAGCUCUCAGCCAUCAGACCUUUUUGGAAGUUGCUCUCUUCUGAAAAGAGGCACAUUGCCC